rnacentral:rRNA from 1 species
UACGUAGGGGGCAAGCGUUGUCCGGAUUUAUUGGGCGUAAAGAGCGUGUAGGCGGUCAGGUAGGUCCGUUGUGAAAACUCGAGGCUCAACCUCGAGACGCCGAUGGAAACCAUCUGACUAGAGUCCGGAAGAGGAGAGUGGAAUUCCUGGUGUAGCGGUGAAAUGCGCAGAUAUCAGGAAGAACACCCGUGGCGAAGGCGGUUCUCUGGGACGGUACUGACGCUGAGACGCGAAAGCGUGGGGAGCGAACAGG